UUACAGCCAUAUCAUGUUGAAACAACAGUUCUUGUAUGAUCAUCGGAGUUAAGCAACAUCAUACCUGGUCAGUACCUAAAUGGGUGACCACUUGGGAAUACCAAGUGCUGUAAG